AGUUGGUGGGGUAGAAGCCUACCAAGGCAACGAUCAGUAGCCGGCCUGAGAGGGUGGACGGCCACACUGGGACUGAGACACGGCCCAGACUCCUACGGGAGGCAGCAGUGGGGAAUAUUGCGCAAUGGGGGAAACCCUGACGCAGCGACGCCGCGUGAGCGAAGAAGGCCUUAGGGUCGUAAAGCUCUGUUGUAAGGGACGAAUGUUUAUCUGGCGAACAGUCAGAUAAAGUGACGGUACCUUACCAGCAAGCCCCGGCUAACUACGUGCCAGCAGCCGCGGUAAGACGUAGGGGGCGAGCGUUGUCCGGAAUUACUGGGCGUAAAGAGCACGUAGGCGGGUAAUUAAGUCAGAUGUGAAAGACCGGGGCCCAACCUCGGGGUUGCAUCUGAAACUGGUUAUCUUGAGGGCAGGAGAGGAAAGUGGAAUUCCUGGUGUAGCGGUGAAAUGCGUAGAAAUCAGGAGGAAUACCAGUGGCGAAGGCGGCUUUCUGGACUGACCCUGACGCUGAGGUGCGAAAGCGUGGGUAGCAAACAGGAUUAGAUACCCUGGUAGUCCACGCUGUAAACGAUGGAUACUAGGUGUGGGAGGUAU
rnacentral:rRNA from 1 species